ACCGCCGCAGGGUAAGGGGCUCUUUGACGCCGUCGGGGCUUCGACCGUGUGUGCGUGCGUGCGUGUGUGUGUGUGUGUGAGAGAAGUAUGUGGAAAGAGUCACUCUGUAGUGUACCGGUCAAUGCAUGCAUGCACACGGUGACGUGUGUGUGUUUUAUUUCUUCUCCCCACCCAACACCACUUUCUCCCACGCGCGUUAUUUAUGGUGCAGUCGCUCGGUCACCGGCGCAGCGUGAACAACGCAUCGAGCGCCAAACACACGCCGCAGGGUGACUCCCGCAGUGUGCCGCCGAGUCGCCACGUAGCGGUCUGCUUAUCAGGCGGGCAGCUCUCCCCACACAGCCCCGGUUCCACCUCGCUCGCGGCGUCGCGAAGGCGUCGCAGCGAAGCACCGUCGCAUGCACAUGUCUCUGCACACAGCUCGCCCCCGGCGACGGGCACAGGGAGACGACGCGUCGAUUGCAGCCGCGGCUCGUUUCAGUCGUCCCCACAUCGAGGAGGAACGCCUCGCGAGCACGGCCCACGCCGGUACGCUGCGGCGCGCGCGUCUGCGUGCGUAGCACACCAUCCCCUCUCCUUCCGCCCUCCGUCUCUUACGGUGAGACUCUCAAUAGUGCGGCUCGAGCCCUUUUCUCUCUCCUACAAAGCGCUCCGCCGGUCUGCUUCUCCCUCUCUAUUUCUCUUAACAGCCAGUUCUUUGCGGGCUUAGCUCAAACUUCCUCCUCCACGUCGUCAGAGGACUCAAAGAAGCAGCCGUCCCCGACUUCAAUUCCCUUCCAGAACUCAUUCAUCCGUUUGGCACCGAGGCAAACGGGCAGUUAAGAUCCAGUUCCCCCUAUCCGUUCUCGCAUCCCCCCCCCCCCCCACACACACACACACACACACACACACACACACACACACACACACACACACACACACACACACACACACACACACACACACACACACACACACACACACACACACACACACACCGCCAAGCACUGUGAGAUGCUGGUGAUGACUAGCGCUGCGGGUAUAGCUAAGAGGAUGUGUUUAGUCCUCGCCACGCUACAUUACAUAAACCCCGGCUACGUAACGUUUGUUUGGACAGCUGUCCGCCCGGGGCAGCGCCGGUGCUGAGGAUGGACGAGGGACGAGGCGGGCGAGGGAGGGGCUGUGCCAGGGCGAGACUGAACGGGGAUUGGGGUUCUUUGGCUUGAGGUCGCCUUGUUGACUGGCUUUUAUUCACUGGACGAGGGAAUCUGUAAGUGGACAAUUCUGAAGUAUUUUGUGAACUAUGCUUACAAAACACGGCAGGAAAGUAGAUGUAAAGUUGUGACCCUUUCCUUACGUUUGACAUACAACUGAUUCCAACAAACCUAUACUGUGUCUAAAUUGCACAGUAUAGUUUUCCAUAUUUGAAUAGGCACGUUGAUAAUCAACUUGUAUAUUCAGUUAAUGAACAUGCCAAUGGUUCUUUGGCAGUUCUGCAGAGAGUCACUGUUGUCUGCGACGUCGGUGCCUCAUAAUGGUAUGCCGUAAGUGAAAUGCUAUAUCGAUGUCGUUGUAAUUAUUGAUGAUGGCCCACAUGACCUUUCCUUCUUCCUUUCUUCUUCUUAAUGACACGGCCUCUUGUGUGUCCCCUCUCUGGGAACCAGUGGCGGGGCCCAGCCUUUGCAAAUAGCUUGCCCAAAGCUAGGCAACCAUCCCGCCCCAUACAUCGUGGCUCGGAUUGUCCUCCUUCAUGUGCGUCUGUUAGACAUUGCAGGAUUCCUUCUUCGCAGCCAUGGCACCAAAGCAGCAAUUAGGAAUGAUUAAUAAGCUCUCAUGAGGAAUCGUCACCGUAGCUGUCGUUCGGAGCAACACUCGAGUGCUAACGCCUGGAAGACGAUUUCGGGGUGGAACAUAGUCUAGACUUUUGAAGAAGUUUACCAUUCCUGGUCUCUGAAGUAUGAUGCUAUUAUGUGGGGGAACCACAUAAUCCUCAUCAUAUUUCACUGCCCACCAAAUGACAGGGGACCGGGGGAAGCAUGUCAUUUUCCAGUGCCGUAUAAAUGGAGGUUUGCUCGGAGCCCUACCCAUGUGUACUUAGCAGUGACACUGGGCUGUAUAAUUUCUGCGGGGUGGAAGACGUCGCGCUGUGCACUUUGCACCCGGGGCGACUUCAGAGUCACCGAUUAACUCAGGAGGGUUGACAUUGUGGGGCCAAUCAACGCCUUUGUUUGUUUAGACACAACUCUUUUAUGAAGGGUGAGAGUUUGACACUUUUUUUUUUUAAUCUGAAUCGGCAAAAGUAAGAUGUGAAUUGAUUGACUGCUGUUAGGUCAGACGGCGUAGAAUGUGUUCACUGUGACCUCAACCCUGUGAUGAGUGGCGAGUUAAAACGCCAGAUCAAGCCUUGUCUCCAUCCGUUGGGAGUUACUACGGUAUUAUGAAAUGUAAAACGAAUCAAAUGAAGUAACUAUGAAACCAUUUUUCAUCAACUUUGCAUGGAGAAAGUCAGCCCAUGUAGGCAUUUCUUAACUGAACGCCUUUGAGUACAAGGCAAGAACACCCACACUUCUUUCCGUGGAGCAUAAGCUUCAAACAUCCCCACAGCUUGGUUCGAUGUCAGCGGGUCACUGCAGCCUACACAGAUUAGUUUUGGGUCUGGCUCAGCCAGCUCUUGUUUACUGUAAACGCUGGAGCUGGUGUGAAGCUUCUCACAGUAACACCGCUGCAGUGGGCUGCAGAGGUCAAAAACAAUCUUAGCUGCACCGGGAUUGACGUGGCGAUCGUCUGUCUUUCACCCUCUAUCCUGAUGCUCGAUGUGCUGGAAAUACUGCCACUGCCGUAGCAAGUGUUGGGUUAUCAGAGUAAACCAAUGAGAUGUACAUUCAGAAUCUUCUUCUCUUUUAACAGACAUUUGGGGUGCGGCGGUCUGCUUAGCUUGGCAUCAUCGCUGAUGGGGUGAGUUCCCAAAGGUGUCCUGUGUCUGUAUGCAUCCUGUUCAGCAACGGGUCGGCACUGACUAAGGACUCAGAACUAGACUUUGAACUGGAAAAUCCUGCUACAUAUUUGUCAGUGUCUGGGGGUGGCGUUCAUUCUUUAUAAAAGCUGCAGGGGGUUGCAACACUGUGGUGAAGUAUAUCAGCGUAGUGUGUGGGUGAACCGCUUAAUAUUCCAUACCUCGUACAGAGCCACUUGUCUCGUCGACAAUUGUAUUGUAGUGCAGGUGCGGAGUUCUCCCUUUUUGUUAUUUCGACAGCUUCAUCUCAUUGGUUUAUCCGAUUAUUUGAUUAUAUAUUAUGUAUGAUUCAAGAGCCCCCGGUAUUUAUUCCUGUGAGUGAUGACAAUGGUUUGCUCCAGUCCUCGGAAAAUAGUAUACGGUUGAAGCGAGAAAAAAUAAAUAAACCCCACUAUCGUUUCACUUCAGGCUGAAUAUUGACUUAUUUUGUAUGAUUUAUUAUCUACACACAUUCUAUUAAAACGCAUGACGAAACAAUAGCCCCCUAAGGCAGCCAACCUGCGUCUGCUAAUGGACAAGGUGGGCUUCAUGUCUGCUCUCGUAGCUUAAACGCCGUCCCCAUUCCUGAGCUGGCUUAAAGCUCCUUAGCCCUGCCCUUAAGACCUGGCUGUGGGGAAACUGCUGUAUCAGAUGGGAUUAGUAGAUGACUGUAGAAAACCUUGUUGUCACCUUCCCUAUUUUUCUUCAGCGCUCCUCUGAAUGGAUCGCACAGGUUCUACGACCGAACCGCCGCACUGUACAGCGGCUUCAAGCCAACAGGGUUGUUGAGUGCAUGUCAGCUUCACAGCUCUUGCUUGGCUGCCAUAUUGUUUGUAUGGUGCCUAAAUAUGGGAGUCUUAUGGGAGCUUUAGUGAAGCCCAGACCAGCGGCAUGUCGAUGUUAGAAACGACAUAAGAGGGAUGUCGGAGCUGUUUUGAAUCUGUCCAGAGGUUUGUAGGAAUCGGUUGUAUGUAAAAUGUAAGGAAAGGGUUACAUCUUUGCAUCUAUUUUCCUGCUGUGUAAGGUCUGCAUGGUUGUUUGUCAUUGGGCAUCUCACAUAAAACACAUCUUUGCACUUUUCCUGCUUCCUUCAAUGGUGUGUGUGUGUGGGUGUGGGUGUGUGUGUGUUGUGAUCUCACAGUGAAAAAACACAACGCAGCAUUCCAAUAACUACCAUGGAAUGUGCCACUCUUCUCUUUUAAACUGCAGCUAAUAUUCCCGAAGGGGGACAAGGGCAUGGCCCAUUUGUCUUGUAAAACUGGUUUUCAAGCCUGGUUCCGGGCUGCUGUCUCGGAAGUCAGGUGAGCUGCUUCCAGCUUGUGUUAAUUUGCGUUCCAAACCGGAAAGACCAGUCCGUGCUGACUGUUAGCUACGCGUUUCCCAAGGACAGUUGGUUCGACAUGUAUGAGGACAAAAGCAGAAAUUACGUUGCUGCUAUAGAUCUUAAAGGUCCCAUGACUUGCACCAGGUGUGAGUGUGAUUGGCCGUUACAAGCCGUUAGAACGGAUGAGCAACCUUUUGCUACAGUCCACUGGGUAGGCUGGUAGACUGAUCUAUCCAGCACACAUUUAGGUGGACACGCCCUCUUGUGAUGUCAUAAGGGGCAGAUUUUCAAAACGGCUUGUAACGGCUAAUCACACUCACACCUGGUGGCAUGUCAUGGGACCUUUAAUAAGAUGUACAGCUAGCUAAAAUGUUCCUCGAAAGGCUAACAUGCUUGGUCUGGGUCUGGUGCACUUCACAGCACUAGUUGUGUGUUUCCUCUGCUGGAGUGGAGAAGGGAGGGUUUUGUAAAUAGGGAGGACUGACAUGCCAAGACGCAUGGCUGACCACAUAUCUGCCAACGGUCACACAAGCAGGACAGAUACGUUAACACGGCCCGACUAAUGACUCACCCUCCCACUGUUCCAUCUGAAUCUGUGGAUUUUCAACGUUGUUUAGGUGCGGUAGGUAGUCUUUGAGAGCUAUACUCAAGCUCACGGCGGAAGCGCUUUGCUGUUGUUAUUGUCCCGUACUGGAGGAAAUUCCUUGUCUAGACUUGUGUGCAAAGGUAUUACCAGACCAUAAGCUUCUGACCAUGGUUCUGUAACCUAGACAUUCUGGGGACAUCAGGAUUCAGGACUUAUUUAUGAUAUAGAUGUAGGGCGUGUUCAUUUGUUGUACUCCAAAUAAGUUUUGAGUCACUAACCUCACAGCUUUAAGCACCAGUGAUGUAUGAGGUUGCUCGCUUAGUUGAUCGUUACGUUCAACAAAAGGAACGUUCAGUUAAAUUGCCAUCCGUGAAACCAAAAAAGAUUUGCAAAAAUAUUUUGCAAAUUCAAUAAUAUAUUGAAUAUGUGACCCAAACAAUUAAUUAGCAUUUUGAAGUUUUUCAAUUUAAAGACGGCCAAGGUUUCAUUUUUGAUCCAGUGUGGCCUGGCCAGCAUCGACAUGUCAGCCGACUGGACAACAGGAAAGACCAGAGCAGUGUCAGCACAGCAGUGAGUUUGUGUUGCGUGACGAUAUGCUAACCACUCACUCUUAACAGGUCAGGACGGGUUUCAGAAGAGGAGAGAUGGUGCAUUCCUCUUCUAUGAAGCGGCCGCGUGGUCGUCGCUGAAUUGUUAUCAACUUCGUUUCUUACUUUUUUCACUUUAGCAUAGCUGGGACAGUAUUUGGCUUUUUUUCAUCCAGUAAAAGCUAUCAUAAACGAAGCGGAAAACCCCCCCCCCCCUUGUCGGUGAUUGGUUGGAAUGCUGUUUAUUUAGGUUUUGAGUGGUCGGUAGUACCAUUUGUUUUUGUGUGCGAUCUCGGAGCACAGGCUGCCCUACAGAGGCGCGCAUUUUUUUUGACGGCCGGCUUAUGUGGUGGGGCAGCUAACGGAUCGUGAGGAUAGAUCAGAUGAAUGUGAUCAUUUAUGUUUCGGCCCAGGAUGGCUGAUACGACCUUUAAGGCGCCACCCUCCACACCAGCUCCUCAGUGAAGGCGUCGAGUGGCGCCUGUGUGGUCCCUCACGAUGCGCCUGUUUGUUUACCUUUUUCUCCCCCUUGAUUGCUUUGUGCGGGUGUUGAUCUCUUCCAUUGAUUCAGAGCGGACCAUGUUGUCUCAGCGUCUCUUGGGGGACGGAUGGACCGGCUCUGCAGAAACUCAAUCAUAAAGCGGUUAUCAGCACGCCUCCAGAGCAAGCGGUCGGAUUGUGAAAGCUUUCUUUCUGUCGCCUUUAUCAUCAGGAUAAGCGAGGCAACGAGCGAGCUUUCUGUUAAGUGGCCUUGGUUCUAUGUCCAUUGUGCUGCGUUAUAUUUAAACAACUUCCUGUUAAUGUCAGUAUUGCCAUCCAGUGUUUGCCAAACAAACAAAGUUGGCCUUUUGUUUUAAAGGUCCAAUUCUGGCACUAUGAUUGAUUUUUGGUCACUGGCCGAGUCAUCUAAAUGGAUCGCUCUAGCAAUGAAUCAUCUGGAAACAUGACAGAGCAAAGGAAAUGUGAUCAAACUGAGGAAUACUGCAAAACUCUUUUUCUCUUGAAAAAAGUCUUGACACACUAAACCUGACCCACUGUGUAUGUGAUCUCUCUCUCUCUCACACACACACACACACACACACACACACACACACACACACACACACACACACUUCGUCUGUCCCCUUCUUUCUCUCUCUCUCCCUUCCCUGAGAGGCCUUUCUGUUCAGAAGGGCCUUACACUCUAAGACCUUUUUUUAACAAAUGUAUGCUUUCUUCUCUAGCUGCAGGAGGUGAAAUGUUGGCCACCAUUUUUUUCUCCUUUUCUCUCCCUCCCUCCCUCCCUCCCUCCCUGCAUUCUUUAAGAACAGUGGAGACAGGCUUGUACAUGUUGUGGAGAAAGAUAUUUGACUGAACAAAUGGGGAAUGAUAGGGGAACUCCUGAAAAAGGAGUCAAAGUUAAGAUUUGAAAGGACAAAGUAAAAUUUAAAACGAAUAAAUAUGUGUGAUGAUUUGAUUGUUGUUGAUUGGGGCCCAGAACUCUUGUGUCACACCACGCACCACGCUUCUCACCACCCUGUGCCAUGAGUCGGUCAGAUUCAUUUCUACUUUCUUUAGUCCGCCUGUGCUUUCUUCGAAAUCAUUUUUCUUUCCCUCAGUGCACAUUAUUUUGUUUUGCGAAAGUAGAGGGCAAAAAAAAAUGAUGGUGCACCGCGGUGCACGGCCACCAAUUACACCGACGGGUCACACAACAUCGCAUCUCUGUGCCGCCGUGUUCCGAUAAGGAUGGGAAUUACAAGGGCAGAAGCUGCUUUAGUAACACUUUCUUUAAUCUAUACACUAUAAAUGGCUUUUAUUGGACCCAUUUUCAGUCCUGGGUUUCCUGUCCUGUGUGGACAGGAUAAGAAAUGUGGUCGAGGAUUGUUUGAGAGCCAUUGUUCAGGUUGCAGCAAUCGGUAAACCACAAAUAAGUUUCCUUGGUUCAAUUCAUUAGCCUCUCCCCGGGGUAUAAUGGACGCCCCUCGAGGACUAUAAGUUUAAGACUUCCUGUGUAUUUUGGGGUGCCGUAGUGAAUAGAGCUCCUGUUUCGGGGCGUGUGACCUUCUCUUCUUUUUAUCCGGUUGCCACACACUUCAAAGGUCAGAGACCUCUUCUUAUACAAAAUCGUCAAGAGACAUGCGUCACACUUGACGUCACAAAGCCAUCAGAACCAACAACAUCCUGCAGCCAUACAGCAUCACACAUCAGCAGAACAUCAAACCCUGCGUUGGACUAAAACUAUGGAUUCCACGUGCAGUGUUUCCCCCAGGAACACUACACAGGGCGGGGGGUCUUCCUUGAGGGUUUAUUUAUCUUUACUUUUUGUACCUGAUGGAAGUAUGUUUCCUUUCCCUAUGAGAGUUUUGCACUUUGUUGAUGCAUAAUAAUAAAAAAAGAUAUAAAAAAAAAAAAAAGUGCAUAUACAUAUUAUUCUUAUUUUUAAAUUGGUAGUCAAGGCGGGGCCCUAUUGUUGUUAAGGUGGCAAGGCGGCCUUACCCAUAUAGUGCUGGGGUAAACACUGACGUGGGUUUGUCUGCAUUGAGCACACAAUGCUUUUCAUACUGGUUCAUCUUCACCUUGAGGUACUCCCUAAGACAAGUGAAGGAGUUGAACAGAUGGGUCCCAAAGGGCUUCACGCCACUCGCUCAACAGUGUGUUCAGCACUCUGGGGCUCGGCUGUAAACCUUCCUCUGAUCUCACUUCAGUAGUAGACUCCGUCUUUGAAAUGCCGACAGUAUCCCGGGUCACCGGGACCAUCUGAUGAAUGGCAUGGGUUUAGGAUGGGGUAGCUGUGAAUAUGGGUGAUUUUACACUUUUUAAAGUAACUGUUACAUCCAAACUAUGCUUCAACAGUUGGCUAGAAAAUUUCUAAAUAGUUUCAAUUCUGACGCACUUGCAAAAUCAAAAAUGGAUUUGCCCCAUCUUGCAAGCCUCUUGUGCCUCUCAAGGGGAAAGAGAAGCAGAUGAUCUAAUCCGAUCGUUAAAAACGAUGUUUAUUAUGUAGUUUAAUAACAGGCACCAAUGCUCAAGCUCGGGAUCAGAGGUCCAUCAACUCAAGGGAAUGUUUGGUGCAUUUCAAUGUAAUCUCGAGUAAUACUUUUGCACACAAACUGGUAAAAGCCUGAAGUGGCCUGAAUACGAAAGGGUGGGGAAAUGGUGAGGGUUCGCUACACUCACAAUCAAUGCCAAGUCUAUGAGGGGUAAACCUACACCCCUCAUACCUGAUACCUCACACAGACAUUGAUUUCCCAAAACGAAAUUAAGCUUUGUCAAUGUUAUAUAACAUGUAUGAAAUGUACAUCAGAAUAUGACUCAAAUGAGGCUUGUAUCAUAUUCUGCAAUCGGAUCCUGGAUCCGAUUGCAGAAUAUCAUAAUAGUCUCAUUCGUAUCAUAUUCUGAUGUACAUUAAAUUUUUCAGAAAUAAAAGGUUCAUUGUACUCGUGCAUGUUGAGUAAAAACUCUGGAGGCUCAGGCCUCAGGUUCAGCCCAAUCGGAGGCUCGAGCCCUCGAGGUAUCGAUGUCUGAUGGCGUGCCUCCAUACCCAUUGGGCUGCCCUCCCGAUCGGGACCAGGACAUUUGAGACUCCAUUGCACUCGUGUCGUUCAUGCGUGGCGUCCAUCAGACUAAUGAAUACGCACUUCUUUGGUCUCCUGUGCCGUGGCGACCCACAGCUGAUCAUUACUGCUACUCUAACUCAUUCUCUCUACUCUUCAAAUUCCGUGAGAUGUUUUUACUACAAACAGUGAUUUGACACGAAGCAGGUCUGUUUUUGGUAUUUGCUGACUGAAGCAACACACCUUGGUUGCAUGUUUGGCUUAGGAAGGCAUUUAACCCGAAGUAGCCCCGCGCAUCCACCCAGACAUCAACACUAUCAACCGGGACGUGGCUGCUGCUUCUGUGGACGGGUAUUUGGUGUUUGUGGAAGAGUUUCGGUUCUGCGGUUUGGUUGUCAGUUGGAACUUGGGAGUGUAGUCGCCGGCUACAGCCCGAAUGUCUGUUAACAAGAACACACCCAGGGACACACACUGUUCUCUGGGUCCUCCCCAUGGACACACACACACACACACACACACACACACACACACACACACACACACACACACACACACACACACACACACACACACACACACACACACACACACACACACACACACACACACACACACACUUCGCCAUCUGCCCCACU